UUAAAUUGAAGAGUUUGAUCAUGGCUCAGAUUGAACGCUGGCGGCAGGCCUAACACAUGCAAGUCGAACGGUAACAGGAAGCAGCUUGCUGCU
rnacentral:rRNA from 30 species